AACAAGGCGUACCUGCGGACCUGCGGGGGAUCAUUACAAGUGACCCCGGUCUAACCACCGGGAUGUUCAUAACCCUUUGUUGUCCGACUCUGUUGCCUCCGGGGCGACCCUGCCUUCGGGCGGGGGCUCCGGGUGGACACUUCAAACUCUUGCGUAACUUUGCAGUCUGAGUAAACUUAAUUAAUAAAUUAAAACUUUCAACAAUGGAUCU
rnacentral:misc_RNA from 1 species